CAAGGAGUACCAAGACAUCAGACAUCAACCCUGUGAGGAGAGCAUCCUUGUCGUCACACCCAGCUGGCCCAGGCUCACGGCAGCGUGUUCACCGUGUGGGUGGGCCCGACACCCGUGGUGGUGCUGAGCGGCUUUCGGGCGGUGAAGGAAGCCCUGGUCUCCAACUCGGAGCAGUUCUCCGG